CAUUAAUUUAGUGUUUUAUGCCGGCUGACUAACGGUAUCUCAUUAAGGAAUCAAGCCUGUAUAACUAUGCUGAUGACAACACCUUCUUCUUCCAAUAAUGUGCCGGGUUCUGAGUUGAACAUAUUCGCACGUUCGCACAUGUAGUUUCUGGCAUGACUCCUUUGAUAUAAAGAAAGAUACAUUAGAAAACGAGGGUAGUUGUUUAGUAGAUUGGUUUACGAAUAAAAAUAUGCAAGCCAAUCCUGAUAAAUUCCAAGGCCUUGCCAUUGGUAAGAAAACGCAUAACAUGAAGCCAGUAUUCAAUAUCAAUGGUAUAAAUAUUGAGUUCACUGAGGAUGUAAAACUCCUAGGAGUAGACAUUGAUUACCAAAUGAAUUUUAACACAUACAUUGGAAACAUCUGUCGUAAGGCUUCAAAGCAAAUAAAUGUUCUACCAAUCACAUGUAGAAAACAAACUGAUCCAUCACUCAUUUAUUAUGUCUACUUUUAAUUUCUGUCCAUUGGUAUGGCAUAAUUGUGGUAAAAGAAACUCAGACAAAUUAGAAAAGCUACACUUCAGAGCUCUUAAGAUUUUUAUAGUCCAUAUUAUGAUGAAGUAAUAUCAAAAGCAGGUGUCAGUACUUUAGAAAUUAGACGCAUGAGACUAUUAGCCAUUGAGGUUUUUAAAAUUCUAGCUGGAGACAGACCUGCAUAUAUGUCACAUUUAAUAUCUGUUAAAAAAAUUAUAUUAUAGUUGUCGCUAUUCAAACCUACUUCAGGUACCGAAUGUUAAUUCGGAAAAACAUGGAAAAUAUUCAUUUGAAUUCCAAGCUGACAAGAUUUGGAAUAGCUUACCACAACAUUUCAGAACAACCACUAAGUUUGGUUUAUUUAAAAAGCUACUGUUAACUUGGAAUGGAACAGAAUGUAAAUGUUCAAUGUGAUAUUUCUUCGGUCCGGUGACGUCAAUAUGUUUUUGUUGGAUUCACAAUCCAUUUAUGAUGAUGUGACGAUAUCAACGGUAAACGUAUCUUAUUUUAGACCCAGAGCAUUGGUUGCAGUUUCUUCGUCCUAACAGUUACAUACGUUUGUUGUUAUUUAUGACGUCUGUAUAAUUUAUGAUGUGAUGGUUGAUUCACAGAUGUGCAUGUGAUUGAAAUCUAAUCUAAGUAUGUUCGUAAUACCUAUUCAGUAGUGACUAGUAUUUAAGAUAAACGUUAUAUAAGCUUCAAGUAUGCACAUUAUUUGAGUAUUUAAGACGAGCAUGAUAUUUUGUAAACUUUGUAUCCACUUUAAACAGUUAGUUUUAAUAAAUUUUGUCAGCAGUAACAAA